AGAGUUUGAUCCUGGCUCAGGAUGAACGCUGGCGGCGUGCUUAACACAUGCAAGUCGAACGGACCCAUAUUGAAACCUAGUGAUAUAUGGGUUAGUGGCGGACGGGUGAGUAACGCUGGGCAACCUGCCUUACACAGGGGGAUAACACUUAGAAAUAGGUGCUAAAACCGCAUAAGCGCACAGCUUCGCAUGAAGCGGUGUGAAAAACUCCGGUGGUGUAAGAUGGACCCGCGUCUGAUUAGCUUGUUGCGGGGUAACGGCCCACCAAGGCGACGAUCAGUAGCCGGCCUGAGAGGGCGGACGGCCACAUUGGGACUGAGACACGGCCCAGACUCCUACGGGAGGCAGCAGUGGGGAAUAUUGCACAAUGGGGGGAACCCUGAUGCAGCAAUGCCGCGUGAAGGAUGAAGGUUUUCGGAUUGUAAACUUCUUUUGUACGGGACGAAGAAAGUGACGGUACCGUAAGAAUAAGCCACGGCUAACUACGUG
rnacentral:rRNA from 1 species